AUUAAUUAAUUUUAUUGAUAUAUUUAUAACUUAAAUAUUUAACUUUAAUUUACUAGAAAUAUUAAGUGAUCAAGGUUUUAAUGGUCAAUGGAAACAUGAUUUGGAUAAAUGUCGAAAAUUGAUUGCUGAAUAUGAUGAGAAAACAAAAAAUUAUGAAUCCCCACAGCUUUUGGAUG